rnacentral:rRNA from 1 species
AUGAACGCUGGCGGCGUGCCUAAUACAUGCAAGUCGAGCGAACGGACGAGAAGCUUGCUUCUCUGAUGUUAGCGGCGGACGGGUGAGUAACACGUGGAUAACCUACCUAUAAGACUGGGAUAACUUCGGGAAACCGGAGCUAAUACCGGAUGAUAUUUUGAACCGCAUGGUUCAAAAGUGAAAGACGGUCUUGCUGUCACUUAUAGAUGGAUCCGCGCUGCAUUAGCUAGUUGGUAAGGUAACGGCUUACCAAGGCAACGAUGCAUAGCCGACCUGAGAGGGUGAUCGGCCACACUGGAACUGAGACGCGGUCCAGACUCCUACGGGAGGCAGCAGUAGGGAAUCUUCCGCAAUGGGCGAAAGCCUGACGGAGCAACGCCGCGUGAGUGAUGAAGGUCUUCGGAUCGUAAAACUCUGUUAUUAGGGAAGAACAUAUGUGUAAGUAACUGUGCACAUCUUGACGGUACCUAAUCAGAAAGCCACGGCUAACUACGUG